GUUAACAUUGCUGUUUUUCUUUUCUGUAUUGUACGUUAGAUAAUGAAGUUGACGGAGAAGCAGUGGACUAUGGAUUGACUGAGAGGAUGGUUUCAUACCUCUUUGAAGGAUCGUUUAAGAAGCAAGCCAAAUUUGAACCGAUUUGUACAGCAGUGGAAAGAAACCGUGACACUAACGGUUGAGCCUGUCCCGGUACAUUCAGAGAAGGCUACAGUGGAAUCAAGAAUGAAUAUCUGCCGAAGAUUUUAAGAUGGCUUUAAGAUCCUAGUACCCACAGUGCUUAGACUGACUCAAAGGAAAUCUCCCCUUGCAGAUCUGGCUUUGGAGGAAAGAGAGGCUGCCCUCACCGAAGAUGUCCCCGGGAUUGAUUUCAGAGCUGCAAUCCUGCUGUUGCCGAUCCUGUUCAGGGAGAAAAAUGACAUUCGCAUCAUACCUGGAGAGG